rnacentral:rRNA from 1 species
GAUGAACGCUGGCGGCGUGCCUAAUACAUGCAAGUCGAGCGAACAGACGAGGAGCUUGUUCCUCUGACGUUAGCGGCGGACGGGUGAGUAACACGUGGAUAACCUACCUAUAAGACUGGGAUAACUUCGGGAAACGGGAGCUAAUACCGGAUAAUAUAUUGAACCGCAUGGUUCAAUAGUGAAAGACGGUUUUGCUGUCACUUAUAGAUGGAUCCGCGCCGCAUUAGCUAGUUGGUAAGGUAACGGCUUACAAAGGCAACGAUGCGUAGCCGACCUGUGAGGGGGAUCGGCCACACUGGAACUGAGCAAGGGUCCAGACUCCUACGGGAGGCAGCAGUAGGGAAUCUUCCGAAAUGGGCGAAAUCCUGACGGAGCAACGCCGCGUGAGUGAUGAAGGUCUUCGGAUCGUAAAACCCUGUUAUUGGGGAAGAACAAAUGUGUAAGUAACUAUGCACGUCUUGACGGUACCUAAUCAGAAAGCCACGGCUAACUACGUG